GUUGGUGAUCUAUCGUAAGGGAAACACCUCUUUCCAUUCCGAACAGAGAAGUUAAGCCUUACUGAGCCGAUGAUAGUCUUCGGGCGAAAGUAGGUUGUCGCCAACA
rnacentral:rRNA from 1 species